rnacentral:rRNA from 1 species
AACGAACGCUGGCGGCAUGCCUAACACAUGCAAGUCGAACGAAACCUUCGGGUCUUGUGGCGCACGGGUGCGUAACGCGUGGGAACCUUCCCUUAGGUUCGGAAUAACUCCCCGAAAGGGGUGCUAAUACCGGAUAAUGUCUUCGGACCAAAGAUUUAUCGCCUUUGGAUGGGCCCGCGUUGGAUUCGCUAGUUGGUAGGGUAAAAGCCUACCAAGGCGACUAUCCAUAGCUGGUCUGAGAGGAUGAUCAGCCACACUGGGACUGAGACACGGCCCAGACUCCUACGGGAGGCAGCAGUGGGGAAUAUUGGACAAUGGGCGAAAGCCUGAUGCAGCAAGGCCGCGAGAGUGAUGAAGGCCUUAGGGUUGUAAAGCUCUUUUACCCGGGAUGAUAAUGACGGUACCGAGAGAAUAAGCACCGGCUAACUCCGUG